rnacentral:rRNA from 1 species
GACGAACGCUGGCGGCGUGCCUAAUACAUGCCAGUAGAACGCUGAAGGAGGAGCUUGCUCUUCUGGAUGAGUUGCGAACGGGUGAGUAACGCGUAGGUAACCUGCCUGGUAGCGGGGGAUAACUAUUGGAAACGAUAGCUAAUACCGCAUAACAGUAGAUGUUGCAUGACAUUUACUUAAAAGGUGCAAUUGCAUCACUACCAGAUGGACCUGCGUUGUAUUAGCUAGUUGGUGGGGUAACGGCUCACCAAGGCGACGAUACAUAGCCGACCUGAGAGGGUGAUCGGCCACACUGGGACUGAGACACGGCCCAGACUCCUACGGGAGGCAGCAGUAGGGAAUCUUCGGCAAUGGACGGAAGUCUGACCGAGCAACGCCGCGUGAGUGAAGAAGGUUUUCGGAUCGUAAAGCUCUGCUGUAAGAGAAGAACGAGUGUGAGAGUGGAAAGUUCACACUGUGACGGUAUCUUACCAGAAAGGGACGGCUAACUACGUG